rnacentral:snoRNA from 1 species
UGGUUGUGAUGAGGACAUUCUUUCAGCAGCCCCUUGAACCUUUCCCAAGCUGAAUAUAAUGACUCUCCCGAUUUCUGUUUAAAGGCAACUAUCUCACUUCUGAUCUU